rnacentral:rRNA from 1 species
UACGAAGGGGGCUAGCGUUGCUCGGAAUUACUGGGCGUAAAGCGCACGUAGGCGGAUUUGUAAGUCAGGGGUGAAAUCCCGGGGCUCAACCUCGGAACUGCCUUUGAUACUGCAAAUCUCGAGUCCGGAAGAGGUGAGUGGAAUUCCUAGUGUAGAGGUGAAAUUCGUAGAUAUUAGGAAGAACACCAGUGGCGAAGGCGGCUCACUGGUCCGGUACUGACGCUGAGGUGCGAAAGCGUGGGGAGCAAACAGG